rnacentral:rRNA from 1 species
CCAUUAGAUGUUCUGGGCCGCACGCGCGCUACAAUGAUGAAUUCAACGAGUUUAUAACCUUGGUUGAAAAGCCUGGGUAAUCUUUUGAACUUUCGUCGUGAUGGGGCUAGACCCUUGCAAUUAUUGGUCUCCAACGAGGAAUUCCUAGUAAACGCAAGUCAUCAGCUUGCAUUGAUUACGUCCCUGCCCUUUGUACACACCGCCCGUCGCACCUACCGAUUGAAUGGUCCGGUGAAAUCUUCGGAUUGAGACUUUGAUUUCUUCACGGAAAACGCUGUUUUAAGAAGUUGAUUAAACCUUACCAUUUAGAGGAAGGUGAAGUCGUAACA